UUUGUUGGAUUCUUGAAUGCUCAGCUUAUUUUAAGUAUAUUAUUCA
rnacentral:sRNA from 1 species